UUUCCGCCAGAUGUCAGUAGUAACGAUGGCAUUCACUCUAGAUUCAUUCUAUUCACUGACUAGAUCAGUCAUUCAUCUCGUUGGACCUCAGAGUACUCGCACUCAAGGUCAUCGGAAGUAUGGUGAAUCUGAGGAUGGAACUGUUACCCGCCCCCUAACAACGCCAAGGCGUCGAAUUCAGUCCGUGCAGACUUUGGACUGAUUCUAACAUCUACGAUCCAUCCAUAUCAGUGUCCGUGGUAACACACACAGAAUGUUCCAGAUCUUAUUUCAGUCUGCGAUCUUAGAAAGCCGUGAACAGGCAGACAUGCACGGAGGACCAUGUGGGACUAUUAACUGGAUUAAAAACAAUAGAAUAAAUUUUAACCAACAGCGGUGUAUGGACUGUGUGUGUGUGUAGGCUUACACUUUAAUAUUUGUAACAUGAAUGCAUAUUAACAUGGCUAAAAUUUGAUCUGAAAUUUUAAUUAUAAUGCGUCAAUAAACUGUCUUAACCCUGUUUCAGAUUAAGCACAAUUCUCGAGCUACUGACGUACAAGUGAAAAUAUCCCCCAAAGCCUUGAAUUUCUUAGGACUCAUUUGCAGUCAAAGAAAAAUUUUAACUAACACAAAAUUAAAGUGUAAAAUUUUGUUCACUUUCAAAAUAAAUCUUUUAUCUUCCUCCCA